UUCCUGGUGGCUCAGAUGGUAAAGCGUCUGCCUACAAUGCGGGAGACCCGGGUUUGAUUCCUGGGUGGGGAA
rnacentral:tRNA from 1 species